UUGCGUGCACAUUUGGGUGGCAUUAUGCAAAUGUUUCCACAUAGUGAGGCAGAUAUGUGGGGGCGUAUUAAGAACGAGGCGUUUUAGGGGGGCGUGGCAGAGUCUUAACUUUGA